CCGAGAUUCAAGUGAGAAUAAGGAAGAGCCACCAUCAGAGGUGGUGCCUGAGCUGAGAGUCGGAGGCGAGCUUCAGGGGCCCAGCCCUGCUGGGGGGAGGGGAGGCGCGUCUCUUUGUCCCUCUCUAGCCAUGGGACAGCCCAACGAGGGGGACCCUCUUGCGUCUCCAGGGCUUACGGGAGCAAAGGAACUUCCCCGCGUACCGUUUGCCCGAGUUUCUGGGGGUUCGCUGCCCACGCUGCCCUCAGUGGGGUCUGCCUGGCAGCCCAGUGCCCGGGCAGGAAGUUGAAGAGCCUCCAUUCGAAUGGUCUCAGGAAGACCCUGAAGGUCAGCUGGCCAGAGCCGGGCCCAGACCCGGAGCUGGGACGCGGAGCAUUCGGACUCUGCUGCAGAGAAGGCGGCCACUCUGUCCAAAUGGCCCGGGAGACGAUUGUGUGAAGGGCGGACACUCCCCAGGCCGCUCGGCGCCUCGGUGCCCUUCCCGAGACGCGGGAGCCCCUGGCGCAGGAGCGCCCACGUCAGAGACGGUGCGCCGUGUCGCCGUGCAAGUAGCACAGAAGCCAAAGUGGAAGCACAUCCCGUCCCUGUCCAGGCGGGCCAUUUGGGCCGGCUGUGGCGAGCCUUCAGAACCCCCACAGUACCUACAGCAUAACGGGCCGGGCCGGCGUGCUGAGACGACUUUCCGGCCCAGGAGAGCCCAGAAUGUCAGCAGGAAAUGUCCGCCGCUCAGGGGCGAGAGGGGUGCCUCCGCCAGGGCAGCAGCUUCUGCGGACAGGAAGGGCUCAGACCCCAGGAAAGACUCGGCCAGGCCUGCUUCCAGUCCCAGUCUGCGAGGAGCCGGGGAAGAAAGGAGGGGAAAUGGAGCAACAUCUAAAAAAAGAGGUUAGAAGCGGCUUUGAGGUGUAAAGGGGAGACAGAAAAAUAAAAUAAGAGCGGCCCCCGCUUCCCAGGACUGCUGUGAGAAGCACUGAGAAGUGCUGAGCGCGUGCGAGGUACAGUCCUGCAGAGACGAGCUUUGGGAAGAGUGUUCG
rnacentral:lncRNA from 1 species